CCCUUAGAUGUUCUGGGCCGCACGCGCGCUACACUGAUGCAUUCAACGAGUCUAAAACCUGCUCUGAUAGGGGUGGGUAAUCUUUUGAAUGUGCAUCGUGAUUGGGAUAGAUGAUUGCAAUUUUUCAUCUUCAACGAGGAAUGCCUAGUAAACGCAAGUCAUCAGCUUGCAUUGAUUACGUCCCUGCCCUUUGUACACACCGCCCGUUGCUCCUACCGAUUGAAUGAUCCGAUGAAUAUCAUGGAUUGAGGAUGCAAGCAGGUUCGCCUGUCUUCAUCUUCGAGAAGUGAAGUAAAUCUUAUCAUUUAGAGGAAGGAGAAGUCGUAACA
rnacentral:rRNA from 1 species